GCAGGCUGCAACUCGCCUGCAUGAAGCUGGAAUUGCUAGUAAUCGCGGAUCAGCAUGCCGCGGUGAAUACGUUCCCGGGCCUUGUACACACCGCCCGUCACACCAUGAGAGUCGGGAACACCCGAAGUCCGUAGUCUAACCGCAAGGAGGGCGCGGCCGAAGGUGGGUCCGGUAACUGGGGUGAAGUCGUAACAAGGUAGC
rnacentral:rRNA from 1 species